rnacentral:rRNA from 1 species
AACGGCGAGUGAAGCGGUAACAGCUCAAAUUUGAAAUCUGGCCUCACGGUCCGAGUUGUAAUUUGUAGAGGAUGCUUCGAGCAUGGUCUGGCCUAAGUUCCUUGGAACAGGACGUCAUAGAGGGUGAGAAUCCCGUAUGCGGUCAGGUGCCUACGCUCAUGUGAAGCUCCUUCGACGAGUCGAGUUGUUUGGGAAUGCAGCUCAAAAUGGGUGGUAAAUUUCAUCUAAAGCUAAAUAUUGGCCAGAGACCGAUAGCGCACAAGUAGAGUGAUCGAAAGAUGAAAAGCACUUUGGAAAGAGAGUUAAACAGUACGUGAAAUUGUUGAAAGGGAAGCGCUUGCAACCAGACUUGCGCGCAGCUGAUCAUCUGGUGUUCUCACCGGUGCACUCGGUUGCGCUCAGGCCAGCAUCGGUUUUGGCGGCUGGAUAAAGGCCCCAGGAAUGUGGCUCCUCUCGGGGAGUGUUAUAGCCUGGGGUGCAAUGCAGCCUGCUGGGACCGAGGACCGCGCUUCGGCUAGGAUGCUGGCGUAAUGGUUGUAAGCGGCCCGUCUUGAAACACGGACCAAGGAGUCUAACAUCUAUGCGAGUGUUUGGGUGUCAAACCCAUACGCGUAAUGAAAGUGAACGGAGGUGAGAACCCUUAAGGGUGCAUCAUCGACCGGUCCUGAAGUUUACGGACGGAUCUGAGUAAGAGCAUAGCUGUUGGGACCCGAAAGAUGGUGAACUAUGCCUGAAUAGGGUGAAGCCAGAGGAAACUCUGGUGGAGGCUCGCAGCGGUUCUGACGUGCAAAUCGAUCGUCAAAUUU